GAACGAUGCCUUCGGGCAUAGUGGCGCACGGGUGCGUAACGCGUGGGAAUCUGCCCCUUGGUUCGGAAUAACAGUUAGAAAUGACUGCUAAUACCGGAUGACGACGUAAGUCCAAAGAUUUAUCGCCGAGGGAUGAGCCCGCGUAGGAUUAGCUAGUUGGUGUGGUAAAGGCGCACCAAGGCGACGAUCCUUAGCUGGUCUGAGAGGAUGAUCAGCCACACUGGGACUGAGACACGGCCCAGACUCCUACGGGAGGCAGCAGUGGGGAAUAUUGGACAAUGGGCGCAAGCCUGAUCCAGCAAUGCCGCGUGAGUGAUGAAGGCCUUAGGGUUGUAAAGCUCUUUUACCCGGGAUGAUAAUGACAGUACCGGGAGAAUAAGCCCCGGCUAACUCCGUG
rnacentral:rRNA from 1 species